AUACGUAGGGGGCAAGCGUUAUCCGGAAUUAUUGGGCGUAAAGAGUGCGUAGGUGGUUUUGUAAGCGCGGGGUGAAAGGCAAUGGCUCAACCAUUGUAAGCCUUGCGAACUGUAAGACUUGAGUGCAGGAGAGGAAAGCGGAAUUCCUAGUGUAGCGGUGAAAUGCGUAGAUAUUAGGAGGAACACCAGUGGCGAAGGCGGCUUUCUGGACUGUAACUGACACUGAGGCACGAAAGCGUGGGGAGC
rnacentral:rRNA from 1 species